rnacentral:rRNA from 1 species
AUUGAACGCUGGCGGCAUGCCUUACACAUGCAAGUCGAACGGUAGAGGAGCAAUCCUCGAGAGUGGCGAACGGGUGAGUAAUGCAUCGGAACGUGCCCAGUAAUGGGGGAUAGCCCGGCGAAAGCCGGAUUAAUACCGCAUACGACCUAAGGGUGAAAGAGGGGGAUCGCAAGACCUCUCGUUAUUGGAGCGGCCGAUGUCAGAUUAGGUAGUUGGUGGGGUAAAGGCCUACCAAGCCAACGAUCUGUAGCUGGUCUGAGAGGACGACCAGCCACACUGGGACUGAGACGCGGCCCAGAAUCCUACGGGAGGCAGCAGUGGGGAAUUUUGGACAAUGGGCGCAAGCCUGAUUCAGCCAUGCCGCGUGCGGGAAGAAGGCCUUCGGGUUGUAAACCGCUUUUGUCAGGGAAGAAAUCUUCUGGGUUAAUACCUCGGGAGGAUGACGGUACCUGAAGAAUAAGCACCGGCUAACUACGUGCCAGCAGCCGCCGUAA